rnacentral:rRNA from 1 species
AACGAACGCUGGCGGCAGGCUUAACACAUGCAAGUCGAGCGCCCCGCAAGGGGAGCGGCAGACGGGUGAGUAACGCGUGGGAAUCUACCCUUCACUACGGAACAACUCCGGGAAACUGGAGCUAAUACCGUAUACGUCCUUCGGGAGAAAGAUUUAUCGGUGAUGGAUGAGCCCGCGUUGGAUUAGCUAGUUGGUGGGGUAAUGGCCUACCAAGGCGACGAUCCAUAGCUGGUCUGAGAGGAUGAUCAGCCACACUGGGACUGAGACACGGCCCAGACUCCUACGGGAGGCAGCAGUGGGGAAUAUUGGACAAUGGGCGAAAGCCUGAUCCAGCCAUGCCGCGUGAGUGAUGAAGGCCCUAGGGUUGUAAAGCUCUUUCACCGGUGAAGAUAAUGACGGUAACCGGAGAAGAAGCCCCGGCUAACUUCGUGCCAGCCGCCGCAGUAACAC